rnacentral:snRNA from 1 species
AUGCUCACUUCAGCAGCGCAUAUACUAAAAUUUAAACCACGCAGGGAAGAUUAGCAUGGCCCCUAUGCAAGGAUGACGUACAGAUUCUUCAUGUAUACCUCUGUUUU